rnacentral:rRNA from 1 species
UACGUAGGUGGCAAGCGUUGUCCGGAUUUACUGGGCGUAAAGCGCGCGCAGGCGGAUUGGUCAGUCCGGGGUGAAAUCUCACGGCUCAACUGUGAGCGGUCCCCGGAUACUGCCAGUCUCGAGGUGUCUAGAGGAGAGCGGAAUUCCCGGUGUAGUGGUGGAAUGCGUAGAUAUCGGGAAGAACACCAGUGGCGAAAGCUACUUGCUAUUUUUAUCCUGACACUAAGAUACGAAAGCAUGGGGAUCAAACAGG